rnacentral:rRNA from 1 species
GAUUUCCGGCUCAGAUUGAACGCUGGCGGCAGGCUUAACACAUGCAAGUCGAACGGUAGCAGGAGAAAGCUUGCUUUCUUGCUGACGAGUGGCGGACGGGUGAGUAAUGCUUGGGAAUCUGGCUUAUGGAGGGGGAUAACGACGGGAAACUGUCGCUAAUACCGCGUAUUAUCGGAAGAUGAAAGUGCGGGACUGAGAGGCCGCAUGCCAUAGGAUGAGCCCAAGUGGGAUUAGGUAGUUGGUGGGGUAAAGGCCUACCAAGCCUGCGAUCUCUAGCUGGUCUGAGAGGAUGACCAGCCACACUGGAACUGAGACACGGUCCAGACUCCUACGGGAGGCAGCAGUGGGGAAUAUUGCGCAAUGGGGGGAACCCUGACGCAGCCAUGCCGCGUGAAUGAAGAAGGCCUUCGGGUUGUAAAGUUCUUUCGGUAUUGAGGAAGGUUGAUGUGUUAAUAGCACAUCAAAUUGACGUUAAAUACAGAAGAAGCACCGGCUAACUCCGUGCCAGCAGCCGCGGUAAUACGGAGGGUGCGAGCGUUAAUCGGAAUAACUGGGCGUAAAGGGCACGCAGGCGGUUAUUUAAGUGAGGUGUGAAAGCCCUGGGCUUAACCUAGGAAUUGCAUUUCAGACUGGGUAACUAGAGUACUUUAGGGAGGGGUAGAAUUCCACGUGUAGCGGUGAAAUGCGUAGAGAUGUGGAGGAAUACCGAAGGCGAAGGCAGCCCCUUGGGAAUGUACUACGCUCAUGUGCGAAAGCGUGGGGAGCAAACAGGAUUAGAUAC